UACAGAGGUCCCGAGCGUUGUUCGGAUUCAUUGGGCGUACAGGGUGCGUAGGUGGCGCUGUAAGUGGGGUGUGAAAUCCCGGGGCUUAACUCCGGAACUGCAUUCCAUACUGCGGUGCUUGAGGACUGGAGAGGAGACUGGAAUUUACGGUGUAGCAGUGAAAUGCGUAGAGAUCGUAAGGAAGACCAGUGGCGAAGGCGGGUCUCUGGACAGUUCCUGACACUGAGGCACGAAGGCCAGGGGAGCAAACGGG
rnacentral:rRNA from 1 species